UUGACGUCGGGUAGUGGCGCACGGGUGCGUAACGCGUGGGAACCUGCCUUUAGGUUCGGAAUAACUCAGAGAAAUUUGAGCUAAUACCGGAUAAUGUCUUCGGACCAAAGAUUUAUCGCCUUUAGAUGGGCCCGCGUUAGAUUAGAUAGUUGGUGGGGUAACGGCCUACCAAGUCGACGAUCUAUAGCUGGUCUGAGAGGAUGAUCAGCCACACUGGGACUGAGACACGGCCCAGACUCCUACGGGAGGCAGCAGUGGGGAAUAUUGGACAAUGGGCGAAAGCCUGAUCCAGCAAUGCCGCGUGAGUGAUGAAGGCCUUAGGGUUGUAAAGCUCUUUUACUAGGGAUGAUAAUGACAGUACCUAGAGAAUAAGCUCCGGCUAACUCCGUGCCAGCAGCCGCGGUAAUACGGAGGGAGCUAGCGUUGUUCGGAAUUACUGGGCGUAAAGCGCGCGUAGGCGGCUUAUCAAGUCAGGGGUGAAAUCCCGGAGCUCAACUCCGGAACUGCCCUUGAAACUGGUUGGCUAGAAUAUUGGAGAGGUAAGUGGAAUUCCGAGUGUAGAGGUGAAAUUCGUAGAUAUUCGGAAGAACACCAGUGGCGAAGGCGACUUACUGGACAAUUAUUGACGCUGAGGUGCGAAAGCGUGGGG
rnacentral:rRNA from 1 species